GUGUCAGCAGCCGCGGUAAAACGUAGGAGGCAAGCGUUAUCCGGAUUUACUGGGCGUAAAGCGCGUGCAGGCGGUUCGGUAAGUUGGAUGUGAAAGCUCCUGGCUCAACUGGGAGAGGUCGUUCAAUACUACCGAACUAGAGAGCAGUAGAGGGAGGUGGAAUUCCCGGUGUAGUGGUGAAAUGCGUAGAUAUCGGGAGGAACACCAGUGGCGAAAGCGGCCUCCUGGACUGUUUCUGACGCUCAGACGCGAAAGCUAGGGGAGCAAACGGGAUUAGAGACCCCGGUAGUCCUAGCUGUAAACGAUGUGAACUUGGCGUCGGCGGGUUCAAAGCCGUCGGUGCCGAAGCCAACGCGAUAAGUUCACCGCCUGGGGACUACGACCGCAAGGUUAAAACUCAAAUGAAUUGACGGGG
rnacentral:rRNA from 1 species